rnacentral:lncRNA from 1 species
AUUUUUUUAGAAUUUAUUCAUAUUUUUUCUGAAAUUUUGUGAAUCAUGAGUCGACCCCCUAGGGUCGACCCAAUGGCAUACUUGAAAUUUUCGGCCAACAUCCCACGGGUUCAUUUCUUUUUAACUAAAAGCCCGUUCAUGAGCCGAUCCCUCCUUCUUCAUCUUCCUCCCUCCAAAACUCGCGGUCCUCAUCUUCGUUCUCUCCAAAUCCAAAGUUUUAGCCCAAGAUCCUUCUCCCAUUACCUCUCCACCUCAAAUCACCCCUUGGGAAAGGAGCUUUUCGCCUUUUUUCUUCCUUGAUUGAAGCGGUUGGAGCGUGCCCUAGCUUCCACCAUUCUUCUCCAAAUUGGGAUUUCUCUCCUCUAAAAAUUCCUUUCCAUCCCCUAAUAACCCUCCUUCUCCUCACCCAUUUGAUCUUCCAAGUCUCCUUGCUUGCUCUU